GGUUGUGGUUCAGUGGUAGAGCCCUCGCCUAGCGCGGUGCGAGGCCCUGGGUUCGAUCCUCAGCAUCA
rnacentral:tRNA from 1 species